rnacentral:rRNA from 1 species
CAAUAGCGUAUAUUAAAGUUGUUGCAGUUAAAAAGCUCGUAGUUGAAUUUUUGCUUGCCGCCGAUGUCGGAACUUCCGUACGUUCGGCGGCGUGCAUCCUUGGGUGGAACCUGUGUGGCAUUAGGUUGUCGUGCAGGGGAUGCUCAUCGUUUACUGUGAAAAAAUUAGAGUGUUCAAAGCAGGCUUAUGCCGUUGAAUAUAUUAGCAUGGAAUAAUAAGAUAGGACCUUGGUACUAUUUUGUUGGUUUGCGCACCGAGGUAAUGAUUAACAGGGACAGUUGGGGGUAUUCGUAUUCCAUUGUCAGAGGUGAAAUUCUUGGAUUUCUGGAAGACGAACUACUGCGAANGNAUUUACNAAGGAUGUUUNCAUUA